UACAGAGGGGGCAAGCGUUAUCCGGAAUUAUUGGGCGUAAAGAGCUCGUAGGCGGUUUGUCGCGUCUGCCGUGAAAGUCCGGGGCUCAACUCCGGAUCUGCGGUGGGUACGGGCAGACUAGAGUGAUGUAGGGGAGACUGGAAUUCCUGGUGUAGCGGUGAAAUGCGCAGAUAUCAGGAAGAACACCCGUGGCGAAGGCGGCUCUCUGGGACGGUACUGACGCUGAGACGCGAAAGCGUGGGGAGCGAACAGG
rnacentral:rRNA from 1 species